rnacentral:rRNA from 1 species
GGAGGAAAGUAGGGGAUCGCAAGACCUUGCGCUUUUGGAGCGGCCGAUGUCUGAUUAGCUAGUUGGUGAGGUAAGGGCUUACCAAGGCGUCGAUCAGUAGCUGGUCUGAGAGGACGACCAGCCACACUGGGACUGAGACACGGCCCAGACUCCUACGGGAGGCAGCAGUGGGGAAUUUUGGACAAUGGGGGAAACCCUGAUCCAGCCAUGCCGCGUGAGUGAAGAAGGCCUUCGGGUUGUAAAGCUCUUUCAGCCGGAACGAAACGGUCACGGCUAAUACCUGUGACUACUGACGGUACCGGAAGAAGAAGCACCGGCUAACUACGUGCCAGCAGCCGCGGUAAUACGUAGGGUGCGAGCGUUAAUCGGAAUUACUGGGCGUAAAGCGUGCGCAGGCGGUUUUGUAAGUCAGAUGUGAAAUCCCCGGGCUUAACCUGGGAACUGCGUUUGAAACUACAAAGCUAG